ACGGGCCGGAAGGAGAUUGUGAGCCUAGUGGCUGCCUGGGUAAGGUUAGGCGCAAAGUGUAGGAGUCGCCUGCAGAAGCCACCCUGACGCUUUGCUCUGCGCAGUUCUCUGUAUUUAAAAGACAACGUGAAAUUCUAGGCAGCAUCGCCGGGUUCUAGGCGCGCGCACGCUCAGCCCUGUGGCAGCUCGUGACUUUAAUAGCCAAAGACUGCACAGGAGCGGUUGCGGCCACUGAAAACUGAUCCGAGGACUGCUGCAGUGACAGAGGGAGCUCUGGUGCUCCGUGCCUUGUCUUCCCAAGUGUUUCCUCUAGCCAUCGGCCAUACCAUUUUACGUUUGACACCAAAUGAUUGUUAAAUGGUCCACACCAGAUCACUGGUUCUGACCUACAAAGGAUGCAGAAUCCAGCCAUUCAUCUGGGCCACCACCUCUGCCCCAUUCCGGUUUCUAUGUUUCUUGAAUAAAUUAUUUCCAUCAGCA
rnacentral:lncRNA from 1 species